rnacentral:pre_miRNA from 1 species
AAUAAACGAAUUUCUGUGUUUUUUAUAGAAAUUCUGACUCUUCGUCUUAUUUAAAAUUUUUUUAUGAUUAAUAUUUUUAUUGUUACCACAUGAUAAAAUAUGAAUAGUACUUUACGUAUGACUAAUUUUUUUCAAUUUUUUAAUAAAUUUUUUAAAUAAGACAGAUGGUCAACCACUCGACAUUGAAAACUCAGA